AAAUUGUUUUUAAAAAUAGAAAGAAAGUGAGAGCAAAUUAAUAAAACUAAGUGAAAUAUAAUUGAGGCGGGGAUUGGAGUCAACAAUUUAUUGACUAUACACGGCGAAAUAUGCACAUAUAGAAAUUUGAAUUGUGGGCGGAAACAUUCGGGGGAAGUUAUUCCUGCUUUUCCGGCAUCGAAAAGUAAAGGGUUUUCUUCAAUGACAUCAACUUAACCCAAAUAACAGCAUUGCAGCAAAUUCCAAGGCAAAUUCGCAAUGCCAUAUUAUAUAAUAUGAACGAUAAUAUGAAUACCUGAAACACCCUGAAACUAAAGCCCCAAACGCAAUACAACGGAACGGCGACGGAAACGGAAAAUUUGACAGUUAGCCCAUAUAUUUUCUGUCAAAUUUGCCGUUUCCGUCACCGUUCCGUUAUAUUGCGUUUGGGG